GGUGCACCCAUUCCUGGUAAAGGAGGCGCAGGAGGAGGCGCAUCCAUUCCUGGUAAAGGAGGCACAGGAGGAGGCGCACCCAUUCCUGGUAAAGGAGGAUGAAAUGAACUGCCUGGAAGAGGAGGUGGUGCAGAAAGAGUGCUCAUUCCUGGAAGUGGAGGUGGAGGAGGAGGUGCACACAUCCCGGAUAG